rnacentral:lncRNA from 1 species
AGUUUUUAGAGUCGUCGUUCAAAAGGGUUGAAAGCAUGGCAAUUCUCCUCGUGGGUUUUGAAUGGAUCCAGGAUUGAGAAACACGAAAGAAAGUGUUCCGAGAAAUCGGAAAAUACUUACAAAGUGGUCCACUUCAAAGACAUAGGAAAAACUGAAAAUUGCGAAACAUAAUGAGAGCCACAGCAUCGCCUAGCUCACGGACUUUCUCGCCAAUCAGGUUGUGGUCUCAUUGUCUGUGUGGGCGCGCAUGAGUCUAUGUGUCUUUGUGGUGAAUUGGAGGUGGACCGUUGUCUCUUGAGCUUGAAAAGAUCCGACCACUCCGACCUAUGGCCAAGCAACGGCGUAAGAGCUUGCGCAACAUUUAACGGCUGCAUCAACAUUUUGCUUGGAUUUUUUAGAAGAAUGGCGCCUUGAAAAGGCAAACAAGUAUAUUUUAAAGGCUAGACUGCACCCAAAAAAAAAAAACUCUAAGGAAGAUAUUGAAUAAUUUCAACAACAACAAAAACAUGUACGAGCCAUGUUUUUAUACCUUUUUUUAUUCUUCACCACAAUCACUAGGUGAGUGUGCAACCAGCAUUAAAUCCUACCGGAGGACUUCACAGCUGAAAUAGCUCAAUAUCUCUUUGCGCUAGCUGACAGAUUGAGGGAACAGAGUUGAUGUUUUGAGAGAGGAAGAUGCUCGAACACGAGUGGAUUUUUGUAUAAAGCCGACAUACAUCAGCCGACAUAUGCGGUUAGCUUCUCGAGGAAGAUAGGAAAACAGAAGCUUCGUCGAGAAGCUUUUGGAAAUAUUAGUGAUCGGCU